CCCAUCUGUUGGUUUCUGCUGCCAAAACUAUAAUACACUCAUAACUCUUAUGUGUAAAAACACAUACCCAUAAACACAUGGGGAGCAGCUGAUACUGUGGUUACAGUAAUUGCCUUGCAACAGAAAAACCCUUCCAAGGACCCAGGUUGAAUCAAAUCCCACCUCCCUAUGUUAGUACCUUUGAAAGUACUUAACCUGAACUGAAUGAAUAGGAACAGUAGGAUAUGGGCAAUUUUAAACCCCACCCUCACUUUAAAAAAAAAAAAAAAAAAAAAAGUGUGUUGACAUUACUUUUUCAUCUCCUAAAUUGGGUACACUGGCUCGGCCUCGACUCAAACACGUGCCGCUGCGCGUGGGUCUCCAUGGUUUCCCGCGCUCCUCGGGGGCGGUCGGAGCGAGCAGCAGGGCGCGUGUACUCGGCGCGCGCUCUCACGAUUGGUACGCGGCUUCUUCACCUCGGCAAGUUACCACACUGAAAUACCACCAACCUUAAAACUGUAACUACAUGAUGAUGUUUCGGAUUAAACAUUGUUCAGUAAUUCGUGGGUAGAAAUUCACUUGAGCAAACGCGUAAAGUUCUUCAAUAAGUUCCACAUGAUCAUCAUGCACGUGACGACAUGAUUAAGUUCGUUACUCGUCAUCGUGUUACUUCUGCGUGGAAGUUCGAAGUACGUUACUCUAUAGCGCCACCUGCCGAAGCCAUUGUGAAUAACAGCCCUCCCAGCGACGGACCCCAGUCGCUCUGUCUGGAACUGUGUCCUUCAGCUGAGGAUGACUUCGCCCCACGGACAUUUGAGUUUCAGAGAAAUGUCUGCAAAAAGUCGGUGCUUCUCUUUAGUGGUCAGAUGAGUACUGAAAAAAAUCUGUUUUACGUGUAAGCUGGAAAGUUAAUGAAACACCAAAAUUUGCAACAUAAUGGUGACAUUGAAAUACUUGCGGGACAGAAUAGCAGCAUCUUUGCUGGUUGCAAUGAUUUUGCACAGUAAACUAAUCAGCCUGCUUCAAGCAGAACUAAUCUCCAAAGUAACUUUGAUGGCUCAUCCUACAAAUGUGCUGCUGGAGGAGGAUGCUCUGAACCUCACUUGUUUGGCUGCAGUGAGUGGAAACCACAUUCCGCAGCUGAACUACAGCAUCCUGAAGGACGAUCACAUUGCGGCAAGUGCCACACAGUCCCAGGCCUGCAGCCUUCUGAUAGCUAAUGUCGCCAAGGCUGACGCUGGACUAUACAGAUGCUCAGUGUCUGAACCCACUGGUCUCCUUAUGCAAAGUGAGAUUGUGGCAGUCACUGUGGAAGAUUUGUUCCAGGAAGUGGUCCUGAUGCUGAUGUACAGACAGGCAUUAGUCAUGGAAAAAGAACCUCAGACGCUCACUUGUGUGGUCACUGUCAACCCCCUGAGGAAGGAUAAAUCCGACGUGACGUACACAUUUCUGAAGCAGCAGCAGCCCAUAGUAGAGGGAAGUCGCUCUCCUGUUUUUCGUAUAGUCAGCACUGAGAGAAGCGAUGCUGGUCAAUACACCUGCGCUGCGCAGUUUGGGAGUGUCGUCAGAUACAGUCGAGAGGUCACUCUUCGGUUAUAUGACAAUGUUCCGAAAGCCUCGCUGACCGUGGAGCCUCCUGGAGGUGCAGUAUAUACAGGAGACACAAUUGUCCUCAAGUGUGAGCUGGAUCAGUUUGUUGGCUGGAGAUACUACUGGUACAAGGACAGAAAAGAUACGUACCCUGUGCACCAGAAUUGGGGGAGCAGAGGGGAUGGGGCCUCAUACAGAGUGUGGCGUGCAGCUCCCACACACACUGGCCUGUACUGGUGCAGAGCAGAUCUGUUCGCUAGCGUCACUCUGACCGCUUCUUCUGGAACGGUGGUGAAAGAGGGACGGGCUUUGAAUCUGACCUGUGAGGUUCAGCUGAGCGUAAGCCAGAAAGACGUGCCGCAGGAUAUGAGAACAGCUGGAAUGUUAUUCACUUUUCUGAAAGAUGGCGGGGUUGUGGCCAGAUCCUAUGGCUGGAGCACGUACAGUAUAUCCAGAAUGCUCAGCACCAAUGCUGGGGUAUAUGUGUGUAUUGCCAGCUCAGGAAGUGCCAGCAAACACAGCCAGGAGAUUGUCAUUUCAUUAGACAACUCCACAGUGAUGCUGGCUGCAGGUGUUGGCACGGUCCUCACUGUGCUAGUUGCACCAUUUGCUUUUUUAGUGAAAAGCCUGUGGUCCAGAGUCAUGCAACACCGUGCCACCAGGCAGGAAUCUGAGCAAACUUCAGGACACGGGUCUGGACGUAUGAACGAAAAGCUGCGUUGUGAAGCUCUGUAG
rnacentral:lncRNA from 1 species